UACAGAGGUCUCAAGCGUUGUUCGGAUUCAUUGGGCGUAAAGGGUGCGUAGGCGGCGCGGUAAGUCGGGUGUGAAAUCUCGGGGCUUAACUCCGAAACUGCAUUCGAUACUGCCGUGCUUGAGGACUGGAGAGGAGACUGGAAUUUACGGUGUAGCGGUGAAAUGCGUAGAUAUCAAGUGGAACACCAGUGGCGAAGGCGAGUCCCUGGACACUUCCUGACACUGAGGCACGAAAGCUAGGGGAGCAAACAGG
rnacentral:rRNA from 1 species